rnacentral:lncRNA from 1 species
AGUCUUUGAGUGUGGUGGAGGCCAGGCAAGACAGCAGGCAUCCAGGCCAGGACCCAGCCUUAGGUUACACUUUGCAGGGAACGUCCAGAGGAACUUUAAGGGGUGCUGGACUCCGGCGGGCCUUCCCUGGGGAAUGGCCCUAAGAGAGCCACUAGAGCCGCUGACUUUCCUGGUCUCCAUAAAGCAGGGGCCCCUCUUCCUGCUGCAGUGGCCCUGCUCACCCAUGUGAGGAUGCACCAUGGUGCUAGGGUGUCUCAAGACUGGGCGACAGGUGAAUGGAGGAAAGAGAAGAGCGAAUCUUGUGAUCCACUGGGUGUGCGGUGGUGAGAUGCUGCUGUCUUGGAGAGGGUUGUGGCUUUGGGCAGAUUUUAUAGCAUUUGUGUAACAGCUGUUAUGCUUCUGCAAAUCCUCUCCCUUCACUUUGGAACUCUGUCAUCCUUGGCCUGCCACCUGGGGCUGUCUGGCUGCACGUCCUGAAUAUUUGUGUUCAAAAAUGUGGAGUCGGGAGCUGGACUGUCUGGGCUGGAACCAGGCUUUGCCAAUCGUUAGUUGUAGGACUUAAGUCUCUUUGUGCCUUGGUUUCCUCUUUUGCCAAUUGGGGAUAAUAACAGUUUCAGCUUCACAGGGUGGGUGUAAGGGUUGAAUGAGUGAAUGUAAGUGAAGCACUUAGGAUGGGGGCUGGGAGGCACAGCCCAUGUGGUGAGGGCCUGCGGCGGUCAUUUCACUGCUGUGUUGUUUGGCUGAGCCAUAUAUCUUAAUCCAGCUAUUGGUAUGUGACUUGGAAUUUUCUUAUUUUUUAAAAAAGAGACAGUGAGGGAGAAAAUAUAAUUGACCUGUUUCACUGCGAGACUGACUGGACACCCUUUGCUAAUGUGUGCUCUGGGGUUCCCAUUUCUUAGUGGAUUCACAUUGGCAUCACUGAUUAACUUCAUGGGAGCUUCCAGGUCUUUAGACAGCUUGGGAUAGUGAAACUUGGGUUGUGUUUUAGAAGAAACUGGAUCUGAACAUCGGUAUCAUAAACUGUUUACCCUGGCAAGGGCUGCACUGAAGGGCAACCUAUUCCUGGAGGUGUUGGUCUAGGUCUAGUCAGUACUAGCUCCAAGUUUAUAUGAAAUGCAGCUUUAGGAGAUUAUCAAUCAACAUACCCCCAGCUCUUUGAACAUAAAACAAUGGAAAGUAUGGCGGUUGUAUCAGUUUCCAUGCGUAUCCGAGUGUAGCAUGACUCGUCAAAGGAAAAUCUCUGGAAUACCCAAAUGAAGCCAAGGGCUGGGCGGAGGCGUGCUAUGUGCUUCUGAUGAGUGAGUGCCGGGCAGCGGGUCAGGCUGGGAUGUCUCCAGCAGGAAGCGCGUAUGCGGCCCGCCAGGCUGCACCUGUUCUCACUUGGAAUGCCCUUGCAUUCUCAGGUGCAAGUCCUGAAGAUGUUUUCUGAAAUUCUUUCUCCUCCAUGAAUCCCUUUAUGGCAAUAAUUCUGGACUGAGAGCUCUGGGGGGUGGGCUUGGGAACCUGUGAGUCACCGGAGCAUGUGCCGAUUCAGUGUGGCCAUAGGGAAGGGCGAUGGGUGAUGGAGACCCCUGGUCUGCACAGCAUGUAUCAUGGGCUGCAGCUCACAGCAACUGCCACAUUCAUAGUCUUGGGGAGACAAAGUGGUCUGAGUUGUUUUUCUAGAAACGGGAACGGGCCUGAGUCAUUUAUGCCCUUGCCAAAUCGCUUUCGUUAGCAAUUGUUCACAUUUUCCAGAUAAUCUUAUAAAUAUAGGCUUCUCUCAAACACAUCUUUCCCCACAUGGCCUG